GAUGAACGCUGGCGGCGUGCCUAAUACAUGCAAGUCGAGCGAACAGACGAGGAGCUUGCUCCUCUGACGUUAGCGGCGGACGGGUGAGUAACACGUGGAUAACCUACCUAUAAGACUGGGAUAACUUCGGGAAACCGGAGCUAAUACCGGAUAAUAUAUUGAACCGCAUGGUUCAAUAGUGAAAGACGGUUUUGCUGUCACUUAUAGAUGGAUCCUCGCCGCAUUAGCUAGUUGGUAAGGUAACGGCUUACCAAGGCGACGAUGCGUAGCCGACCUGAGAGGGUGAUCGGCAACACUGGAACUGAGACACGGUCCAGACUCCUACGGGAGGCAGCAGUAGGGAAUCUUCCGCAAUGGGCGAAAGCCUGACGGAGCAACGCCGCGUGAGUGAUGAAGGUCUUCGGAUCGUAAAACUCUGUUAUUAGGGAAGAACAAAUGUGUAAGUAACUAUGCACGUCUUGACGGUACCUAAUCAGAAAGCCACGGCUAACUACGUG
rnacentral:rRNA from 1 species